UACGUAGGGGGCAAGCGUUGUCCGGAAUCAUUGGGCGUAAAGAGCGUGUAGGCGGUUCGGUAAGUCCGCUGUGAAAGUCCAGGGCUCAACCCUGGAAUGCCGGUGGAAACUGUCGAACUAGAGUCCGGAAGAGGCGAGUGGAAUUCCUGGUGUAGCGGUGAAAUGCGCAGAUAUCAGGAGGAACACCAAUGGCGAAGGCAGCUCGCUGGGACGGUACUGACGCUGAGACGCGAAAGCGUGGGGAGCAAACAGG
rnacentral:rRNA from 1 species